rnacentral:rRNA from 1 species
GUCGAACGGUAGCACAGAGAGCUUGCUCUUGGGUGACGAGUGGCGGACGGGUCAGUUAUGUCUGGGAAACUGCCCGAUGGAGGGGGAUAACUACUGGAAUCGGUAGCUAAUACCGCAUAACGUCGCAAGACCAAAGAGGGGGACCUUCGGGCCUCUUGCCAUCGGAUGUGCCCAGAUGGGAUUAGCUAGUAGGUGGGGUAACGGCUCACCUAGGCGACGAUCCCUAGCUGGUCUGAGAGGAUGACCAGCCACACUGGAACUGAGACACGGUCCAGACUCCUACGGGAGGCAGCAGUGGGGAAUAUUGCACAAUGGGCGCAAGCCUGAUGCAGCCAUGCCGCGUGUAUGAAGAAGGCCUUCGGGUUGUAAAGUACUUUCAGCGAGGAGGAAGGGGAUGUGGUUAAUAACCGCAUUCAUUGACGUUACUCGCAGAAGAAGCACCGGCUAACUCCGUGCCAGCAGCCGCGGUAAUACGGAGGGUGCAAGCGUUAAUCGGAAUUACUGGGCGUAAAGCGCACGCAGGCGGUCUGUCAAGUCGGAUGUGAAAUCCCCGGGCUCAACCUGGGAACUGCAUCCGAAACUGGCAGGCUAGAGUCUUGUAGAGGGGGGUAGAAUUCCAGGUGUAGCGGUGAAAUGCGUAGAGAUCUGGAGGAAUACCGGUGGCGAAGGCGGCCCCCUGGACAAAGACUGACGCUCACGUGCGAAAGCGUGGGGAAGCAACAGGAUUAGAUACCCUGGUAGUCCCCGCCGUGAACGAUGUCGACUUGGAGGUUGGUUCCUUGAGGAGUGGCUUUCCGAGCUAACGCGGUUAGUCCACCGCCC